rnacentral:rRNA from 1 species
GACGAACGCUGGCGGCGUGCUUAACACAUGCAAGUCGAACGGAAAGGCCCUGCUUGCAGGGUACUCGAGUGGCGAACGGGUGAGUAACACGUGGGUGAUCUGCCCUGCACUUCGGGAUAAGCUUGGGAAACUGGGUCUAAUACCGGAUAGGAGCCAUCUUUAGUGUGGUGGUUGGAAAGUUUUUUCGGUGUAGGAUGAGCUCGCGGCCUAUCAGCUUGUUGGUGGGGUAAUGGCCUACCAAGGCGGCGACGGGUAGCCGGCCUGAGAGGGUGUACGGCCACAUUGGGACUGUGAUACGGCCCAGACUCCUACGGGAGGCAGCAGUGGGGAAUAUUGCACAAUGGGCGCAAGCCUGAUGCAGCGACGCCGCGUGGGGGAUGAAGGCCUUCGGGUUGUAAACUCCUUUCGCUAGGGACGAAGCUUUGUUGUGACGGUACCUAGAUAAGAAGCACCGGCUAACUACGUG